CGGGACACGUGGUAUCCUGUCUGAAUAUGGGGGGACCAUCCUCCAAGGCUAAAUACUCCUGACUGACCGAUAGUGAACCAGUACCGUGAGGGAAAGGCGAAAAGAACCCCGGCGAGGGGAGUGAAAAAGAACCUGAAACCGUGUACGUACAAGCAGUGGGAGCACGCUUAGGCGUGUGACUGCGUACCUUUUGUAUAAUGGGUCAGCGACUUAUAUUCUGUAGCAAGGUUAACCGAAUAGGGGAGCCGAAGGGAAACCGAGUCUUAACUGGGCGUUAAGUUGCAGGGUAUAGACCCGAAACCCGGUGAUCUAGCCAUGGGCAGGUUGAAGGUUGGGUAACACUAACUGGAGGACCGAACCGACUAAUGUUGAAAAAUUAGCGGAUGACUUGUGGCUGGGGGUGAAAGGCCAAUCAAACCGGGAGAUAGCUGGUUCUCCCCGAAAGCUAUUUAGGUAGCGCCUCGUGAAUUCAUCUCCGGGGGUAGAGCACUGUUUCGGCAAGGGGGUCAUCCCGACUUACCAACCCGAUGCAAACUGCGAAUACCGGAGAAUGUUAUCACGGGAGACACACGGCGGGUGCUAACGUCCGUCGUGAAGAGGGAAACAACCCAGACCGCCAGCUAAGGUCCCAAAGUCAUGGUUAAGUGGGAAACGAUGUGGGAAGGCCCAGACAGCCAGGAUGUUGGCUUAGAAGCAGCCAUCAUUUAAAGAAAGCGUAAUAGCUCACUGGUCGAGUCGGCCUGCGCGGAAGAUGUAACGGGGCUAAACCAUGCACCGAAGCUGCGGCAGCGACGCUGAUGCGUUGUUGGGUAGGGGAGCGUUCUGUAAGCCUGUGAAGGUGUGCUGUGAGGCAUGCUGGAGGUAUCAGAAGUGCGAAUGCUGACAUAAGUAACGAUAAAGCGGGUGAAAAGCCCGCUCGCCGGAAGACCAAGGGUUCCUGUCCAACGUUAAUCGGGGCAGGGUGAGUCGACCCCUAAGGCGAGGCCGAAAGGCGUAGUCGAUGGGAAACAGGUUAAUAUUCCUGUACUUGGUGUUACUGCGAAGGGGGGACGGAGAAGGCUAUGUUGGCCGGGCGACGGUUGUCCCGGUUUAAGCGUGUAGGCUGGUUUUCCAGGCAAAUCCGGAAAAUCAAGGCUGAGGCGUGAUGACGAGGCACUACGGUGCUGAAGCAACAAAUGCCCUGCUUCCAGGAAAAGCCUCUAAGCAUCAGGUAACAUCAAAUCGUACCCCAAACCGACACAGGUGGUCAGGUAGAGAAUACCAAGGCGCUUGAGAGAACUCGGGUGAAGGAACUAGGCAAAAUGGUGCCGUAACUUCGGGAGAAGGCACGCUGAUAUGUAGGUGAAGCGACUUGCUCGUGGAGCUGAAAUCAGUCGAAGAUACCAGCUGGCUGCAACUGUUUAUUAAAAACACAGCACUGUGCAAACACGAAAGUGGACGUAUACGGUGUGACGCCUGCCCGGUGCCGGAAGGUUAAUUGAUGGGGUCAGCGCAAGCGAAGCUCUUGAUCGAAGCCCCGGUAAACGGCGGCCGUAACUAUAACGGUCCUAAGGUAGCGAAAUUCCUUGUCGGGUAAGUUCCGACCUGCACGAAUGGCGUAAUGAUGGCCAGGCUGUCUCCACCCGAGACUCAGUGAAAUUGAACUCGCUGUGAAGAUGCAGUGUACCCGCGGCAAGACGGAAAGACCCCGUGAACCUUUACUAUAGCUUGACACUGAACAUUGAGCCUUGAUGUGUAGGAUAGGUGGGAGGCUUUGAAGUGUGGACGCCAGUCUGCAUGGAGCCGGCCU
rnacentral:rRNA from 1 species